UACGGGGGGGGCAAGCGUUGUUCGGAGUUACUGGGCGUAAAGAGUGCGUAGGCGGUUUUCUAAGUUUGGUGUGAAAUCUCCCGGCUCAACUGGGAGGGUGCGCCGAAGACUGGAAGGCUUGAGUAUGGGAGAGGUAAGCGGAAUUCCUGGUGUAGCGGUGAAAUGCGUAGAUAUCAGGAGGAACACCUGCGGUGUAGACGGCUUACUGGACCAUAACUGACGCUGAGGCACGAAAGCGUGGGUAGCAAACAGG
rnacentral:rRNA from 1 species